AUUGAACGCUGGCGGCAUGCCUUACACAUGCAAGUCGAACGGCAGCACGGGAGCUUGCUCCUGGUGGCGAGUGGCGAACGGGUGAGUAAUACAUCGGAACGUACCCAGUAGUGGGGGAUAACGCACCGAAAGGUGCGCUAAUACCGCAUACGACCUACGGGUGAAAGCGGGGGACCGUAAGGCCUCGCGCUAUUGGAGCGGCCGAUGUCUGAUUAGCUAGUUGGCGGGGUAAAAGCCCACCAAGGCGACGAUCAGUAGCUGGUCUGAGAGGACGAUCAGCCACACUGGGACUGAGACACGGCCCAGACUCCUACGGGAGGCAGCAGUGGGGAAUUUUGGACAAUGGGGGCAACCCUGAUCCAGCAAUGCCGCGUGUGCGAAGAAGGCCUUCGGGUUGUAAAGCACUUUUGUCAGGGAAGAAAUCUUUCAGGCUAAUACCCUUGGAAGGAUGACGGUACCUGAAGAAUAAGCACCGGCUAACUACGUGCCAGCAGCCGCAGUAA
rnacentral:rRNA from 1 species